rnacentral:rRNA from 1 species
GACGAACGCUGGCGGCGUGCUUAACACAUGCAAGUCGAACGGAAAGGCCCUGCUUGCAGGGUACUCGAGUGGCGAACGGGUGAGUAACACGUGGGUGAUCUGCCCUGCACUUCGGGAUAAGCUUGGGAAACUGGGUCUAAUACCGGAUAGGAACCAUCUUUAGUGUGGUGGUUGGAAAGUUUUUUCGGUGUAGGAUGAGCUCGCGGCCUAUCAGCUUGUUGGUGGGGUAAUGGCCUACCAAGGCGGCGACGGGUAGCCGGCCUGAGAGGGUGUACGGCCACAUUGGGACUGAGAUACGGCCCAGACUCCUACGGGAGGAAGAAGUGGGGAAUAUUGCACAAUGGGCGCAAGCCUGAUGCAGCGACGCCGCGUGGGGGAUGAAGGCCUUCGGGUUGUAAACUCCUUUCGCUAGGGACGAAGCUUUUUGUGACGGUACCUAGAUAAGAAGCACCGGCUAACUACGUG